UUGUGCACCAUGUGAUAGUUGAGCCCAGAUGAUGAGACUGUAAUGUGGAACUCCUUCCUACACCUAUGACAAGUGCCCUGCAUCCCUACUCUACUCUUACAGUGUGCCACCGCAACCAUAAGGCCAUGCCAACAGACGACGACCAUCGGAAAACAGUCAGAACUCCGCAUGCAGACUGUCAUGGAGAUUAAUUCUAACCUCAGGGCACCUAACAAGGCUCUCUUCUCAAUUCUGUGGGCUUUCGAAUAGUAUUACCUCUGGAUUCUGGCUUACAUCACUGCGAAAUAGCCACAUGGAGUUGUAUAAAAGGGGUAUGCAGCGUGUACUCUACAGUAGCUCUGGUUCAGGCUGUUACGUGCGGCUUGAGCGUUCUUCAAUGGAAGUCUUGAAGACUCAAGCCGCACGUGACGCCCUUGACCCGAGCUAACGCUGCUGCGGUUUGUGUGAGAGGACAGAUGCAUACCGUACCAGUCAAAAGUUUGGAAACACCUACUCGUUCAAGGGUUUUUCUUUAUUUUAUUUUACAAUUUUCUACAUUGUAGAAUAAUAGUGAAGACAUCAAAAGUGUUACACAACUGUUACACUCUCCCUGCCUCCUCUGUUUGUGCUUUUACUUGCACAUUGGGGACAGGUGGAGCUGAUUGGUCGUUAAGGUGACAUGUUUCAAUUGGGUUUGGGUUCAACUAGGAGAUAAAAGUUCCUGGUGCCCAGUCCUGGCUCUCUCUCUCGCCACAAGCACCAUUUUGUUUUGUGAUCUGGUUGAUUAUGGUUUUUGAAUAGGUGCACCCUUUAACACUUACACACAUUUUACCUUCAUCCAUGCAUCUUCAUUACACCCCUCACAUGCCUACUCUCAUACUUCACAGGUUAGUUUGGUGGAGAGAAGACCAUGAAGUCUCUUUGUCCUGUAUUGUCUAGAGACACUUUGUUCUGUUCCUUGUUCGGUCAUCGGAUUAUGGAGGUGAGUUGUCUUUGCAAUGUAUGACGGUGAGAAGUUGAGGCAGACAUAACUCAUUGCCCAGAGAUAUGGUCUUUCACCCUGUUAGAUAUAGCGGUAUGUUCACACUGGGGGCAAGUUGUGUCGUUUGUUAUUUUCGUGUGGUGACAGAGGUUAAAGCAGUUGUCUCUGGAGUACAUCUGUGGUUCGAGGUUGGUUACUAGCAAGCUGGUUCCUCCUUCGUGCCAGCGGGCUCUAGUGCAUCAAUACCUGCUGCAAAGCCAGCGACGACUAGGGUUAAGUUUAACAAUAGGAUUUGUGAAAACUCAAGUAAAGUUCAUUUGUUUUUGCUAUGUACUAAUCUGUUAAUUUGGUAGUAGCAUUAUGGCUUCUAUUGCGGAUGUUGUCCCGUGUUCCUUCUGAGGAGUUACUUAUGCAGUUUAUGAAGGAACAGAUUUUGAAGUUGAGUGAGUGAGCUCAGUGACUAAUGUCUCAAGGAUCCAGUAAGGUCUAUUCUGUCAGCUAAUUUGCUUUCAGCUGGUAUUUUCAAGGCAGAAUUGAGUGAACAAGCUGUCUUGGCUGUACCAAUUGCGUCUAGUGCUGGUUUGACAUUUGAGCAGAAAAAUUUGUUCCCUUUAUUGCAGCUCAUGUCAAAGAUCUGGAAUGGUUUAAACGGCAAAAAUAACUUGAUUUGAAAGGUUGAAGCAGGAUACAGAGCAAGCUAAACUGCGGUUGCAACAUCAACGGUUAGAACUUGUCAGAGAAGGCAAGCUUUCAGGUGAAUUUUCUUUUGAGAAUGACGCUACAGUGUGUUUUGACCAGUAGGGCUCACUCAUCUCUUAGCGCUACAGAUGGCGAUGAUUACUUAAAGGUUAAGUAUGCAGGACAGCAGUUUUAUGAGUUGGUCCCUGAAGUGUAUUGACAGCGUUUCAGAACGUUGAAGAAAGGUGAAAAACAGUCCCAUGUUGAGUUUUCACAGAAUUUGUUAACUCGAUUCAAUCUUUGGUCUACUAGUUUUGAAGCUUGUACAAGCUAGUUGUCCUCGAACAAUUUAGUCUGUCCCUUAUUGUCUUGCUACCUAUAUAAAUUAACAUAAAGUACGGACAGAAGCUGCUGUUUUGGCAAAUGCGUACGUACUGAUCCCCAAAGGCUGUUCCCCAGAGGAACAGUUCAAGUGGAUUUCGUUCAGCAAAUUAUUUUGGUUCUGGUAAUGAUGCAUUUCCAUCUAGAUCUGAACGUGUUGCAUGUGGACAGAAUGAUGUUAGUAAUAACUAAUUAUUAAGGUAAAGGCCACUGGAAGAGAUAAUGUCCUGUCCUUGGUAAAAAAGGUCAGCAGAUUGGCCAGCACAAAUUUAAAACCUGUUGCGUUAGCUGAGCCUGUUCAUGCUAAUCCUGUUGCUCAAGAAUAGUCCAAGUCUUUAAGUAUUUAUUAUUUGUCAGAGGGUUAUGUUUCACUGUUGGGAAGUGACGUGCCAGUAGAGAUUCUGUGAGACACGGGUGCCUCUGAAUGGUUUGUUUUGGAGUCUGUUCUGCCUUUUUCUCUGGAGAUGGAUACAGGAACCAGUGUCCUGAUUCAAAUGAUAGAUUUGAAUACUUUUGUCUGUACCCUUGCAUAAAGUCAAACUUAUAUCUGACCUAAUGCAAGGUGGUGUUUCCCUUGGGGUGGGUCCCUUUCUGCCCGUUGACUUGUGUUCAUGUGAUUUGGGUAACAACUUAGCCGGUUGUCGUGUCUGGUGUGACGCAUCUCCUCUGGUGGUUUCUCAUAACCAGCUUAUAACCUACAGAGAUUCCCGGAGGUAUUCUCUGCAUGCGCUGUGACUCGUGCUAUGAGCUGUGCUGACACUAGGGUCAAAACGGAACUUACACAACACAUAGCUGAACAGUUUGAUAAUCGUUUAAGUAGUGCUGCCUAGGGGUACUACAUUCAAGAUCAGUUGUUGGUGAGGAAAUGGACACCUCACAGCAAAAGUUGUAUGUGAUGCUAUUGUUCAGAUCGUGGUUCCUUCUAAGCUUCGAGAUCAAAUUUGGAGAACUUCUCAUUUCUUGUCACUUAUGAUUGCGUUUUAGGUCACUUUUAUUGGCCUUGUAAUCGGAAAUGUCUUUCUUUAAACAUCUAAAUAUGCCAUGUUUUUCAGCUGACUGGGAAGCCUAAUCAGAUUAAGGCCAGUCCUGCAACAUACAACCUAUUCCUGUUACAGGCCAGCCAUUUGAGCAUUUGAUUAUUGAUGGUGUUGGACCCUUACCCUGUUCUAAAGCUGGUAGCACCUACAUGUGAACUGAUUUGUCAGGCUACAAGAUAUCCUGCAGCCUAUCCACUGUCUGUUGUGAAGGCUUUGUCACAGUUCACUUCAAUUUUUUUUGAAUACUUAAGGUGAUUUAGAGCGAUCAUGGUUCCAACUUCACUUCGCACAUAUUUGCACAAGUCUUGCAACAAAUGCAUAUAAAACAUAAUCAGGCCAGUGCUUUUCAAGUGCAGAGUCAAGGGGCCCUUGAGCGUUUAUCAGACUUUGAAGUCGCUAUCACGCGAGUACUGCACUGAAUUAGAACGUGACUGGGAUGAGGGGUUACCCUGGUUGCUGCUCACUGUUAGAAGUAUCACGAGGGCACGGGGUUCAGUCCUAAUGACCCUGUUUUUGGUCAUACUGUGCGUGGUCCCCUUGCUGUAAUAAAGGAGGAUUGGAAGGUGGUUGAGCGUCCCCCAAAUUUGUCAUGUCAAUGGUUUCUGACACAGGUUGUACAUGGCUUGUGAAAUAGCUAAAGAAAAACUGGCAUCCUCUCAGGUGAAGGGGGGGGAAAAGGUUGUUUGACCGGUGAGUUGCGCUGAGACUUUAGUCCAGGGGACCAGGUUCUGGCCCUGCUGCCCGUUAUCGGUUCUCCUUUUCAGGCCAAAUUCAGCGGCCCAUACACAGUUCAGAUCGAACAAUUUCCGAACCAGAAUCUGAUUACUACCCCUGAGCGCAGAAAGUCGAAUCCGCUCUGCCAUGUCAAUUUGCUAAAGCCCUAUUAUACUGGUUUGUCUUCUGAAUUGACUAAAUCAUAACUGUGCUAAAACUGACGUGGUUAGUUCUGUUAUUUUGGUGGAAUCCGUUGAUCUGAGGUGACUCCAGCUUCACAAACAGUGGCAGUGUGAGGAAGAGGGGAUGCCGGGCCCUGAUGGUAUUUUGCAAGGGUAGGUUGACGAUUUCAGAGUUCCUUUGCAAACUUGGAGUUUGUUGGGUCACCUGCCUUAUUGUCAAGCAGAGUUAACUGAUUUGAUCACUGAUUUUCAGUCUGUUUGCUGACACCUUCUCGUACACAUUUGGCAGUGCACGAUAUUGAUGUUGGGAUGCUGUCCCUAUUAAACGUUUGUGUCAUGUCUCAUUGGAAAAGCUAUGUCACUUGGACUCAGAUUAAAUACAUGCUAGUUAAUAUCGCUGUACCAUCAUUCUUCAGUUGGGCCUCCCCGUGUCUCUUGGUGAGCAAGCCAGAUGGUUCUCUUAGAUUUUGCACUGACUACUGGAAGGUUAGUGUGACACAACCUGACUGUUACCCACUCCCACGGAUUGUUGUCAUGGGCAUCCGGUGGGCCUCUUUGGUUUGUAUAGUAUUUGUCUGAAACUUUUAGGUAUGGUUUUUGAUCUGUUGUAUAUGUGUGGUUUUGUUUUUGGGUUGUUGUUAGUGCCCAAUUUUUAUAGGAGUGGGUGUUACGCUCUCCCUGCCUCCUAUGUUUGUGCUUUUGCUGAUUGGGUCAUUAAGGUGACAUGUUUCAAUUGGGUUUGGGAUCAACUAGGAGAUAAAAGUUCCUGGUGCCCAGUCCUGGCUCUCUCUCUCGCCACAAGCACCAUUUUGUUUUGUGAUCUGGUUGAUUGUUUUUUGAAUAGGUGCACCCUUUAACACUUACACACAUUUUACCUUCAUCCAUGCAUCUUCAUUACACCCCUCACAUGCCUACUCUCAUACUUACAGGUUAGUUUUCCUUUGUAGUUUUAUACUUAUUUAAUACAUAUUUUUGUUACUACUUAACUGCCAAUGUAUGGACUUCCUUUGUCGCCAGGUUGUGACAACUCAAUUUUAGAUUCUCCAAAGUAGUCACCGUUUGCCUUGACAGGUUACACGCACUCUUCCAACAUGUGCUGAGCACUUGUUCGCUGCUUUUCCUUCACUCUGUGGUCCAACUCAUCCCAAACCAUCUCAAUUGGUUUGAGGUCUGGUGAUGCAGCACUCCAUCGCUCUCCUUGGUCAAAUAGCCCUUACACAGCCUGGAGGUGUGUUGGGUCAUUGUCCUGUUGAAAAACAAAUGAUAGUGGGACUAGGUGCAAACCAGAUGGGAUGGCGAUUCGCUGCAGAAUGAUGUGGUAGUCAUGCUGGUUAAGUGUGAUUUAUUUAGAAUGCAAGGCAGUGUCCCCACCAAAGCACUAUCACACCGCCUCCACCAUGCUUCCCAGUAGGAACCACACAUGCGGAGAUCAUCCGGUCACCUACUCUGCGUCUCAAUACAUUUACAUUACAUUUAAGUCAUUUAGCAGACGCUCUUAUCCAGAGCGACUUACAAAUUAUCUCACAUAGACAUGGCAGUUCGAACCAAAAAUCUCAAAUUUGGACUCAUCAAACCAAAGGACAGAUUUCCACCGGUUUAAUGUCCAUUGCUUGUGUUUCUUGGCCCAAUCAAGUCUCUUCUUAUUGGUGUCCUCUCAUGGUGGUUUAUUUACAACAAUUUGACCAUGAAGGCCUGAAUCAGUCUCUGAACAGUUGAUGUUGGCGUGUCUGUUACUUGAACUCUGGAGCAUUUAUUUGGCCUGCAAUUUCUGAGGCUGGUAACUCUAAUGAACUUUUCCUCUGCAGCAGAGAACUCUGGGAGGGAAGCAGCUUCAUCAUAGCGCUUGAUAGUUUUUGAGAAGUUCUUAAUGUUCUGUAUUGACUGACCUUAACGUCUUAAAGUAAUGAUGGACUGUCAUUUCUCUAGGGCUAUAUUCUGUAUACCACCCGAACCUUGUCACAACACAAAUGAUUGGCUCAAAUGCAUUAAGGAUAGAAAUUCCACAUGUUAACUAAAGGCACACCUGUUAAUUGAAAUGCAUUCCAGGUGACUACCUCAUGAAGCUGGUUGAGAGUGCCACUUUGUUUACUACAUGAUUCCAUAUGUGUUAAUAGUUUAUGACUUCACUAUUAUUAUACAAUGUAGAAAUGAGUAAAAAAUCAAGUUAAAACCCUGGAAUGAAAUGAGUAGGUGUCCAAACAUUGGACUGGUACUGUACAUAUCGGGACCAUCUUAACGACUGCAUUCAGACUACUCCAAAAGUUGCAUUGCAUGCGUGCCACAAACUUUCUCAUCAUAAAACCAGAACAGUGAAUCAUUCUAAUAAAUUUGUUUUUAAUAAGAUUUUAUGAAAAACAAGCACUGUAAAAAAUGUUUUAAGAAAUACAUUUAAAAUGGAAUGAUAGAAAAAAGGUGACGCAUUGCUGUUGAACCGGACUAGGUUAUAGUAGGCCUAGAGUAACGGUAGCUUACAGAGGGCUUGGGUUUUAAGAAUGUGAAAUGGGGAAAAUAAACAAUUGUUACAGGAGAAUAAAUUCUAAAUACGAGGUUCACCGGUAUUCACAGAAGCUCUCAUUUCAUGAUGGGCAUGUAACCUACGUCAUAGAAGGGGUUUUAUGCACGUCCAAAGCAUAGCUAAAAUAAUUUAGGCCUGCUUAUAAUAGAUUAAAAGGGAGCGUCAGCUCACUGUUUUGCUCCUCACAAACUUGAUAUUUGAAUGAAGCUUUGGUGAUUAAGAUUAAUUUCCAAGCGGCCUCGAGCCAAACACUUUAUCGAUGGUGUUGACGGGACAAAAAGAAAGGACUUAAUCAAAUAAAACAAAUGGUGGGAAAGGUGUUAUGUUUAUAAAUACGAAGUAUACAAGUCCCAAAUCACAUGUUCCUUGCGUGUCACAGCUGGAUAAGUUGCGACUCUGCUGUCAAAAUGUAUGCCAUAACCAACUGUUACUGUUUGACAGGUACAUUGUCAAACCUGGCAUUAGGGCUGGAAAAUAAGGAAGUCCUGAGAGGACAAAAAUAGACAUUAACGAGGGAAUAUAUAUCACUAAAUAACAAAAGUAAUUUUGUCGAUCACAAGAUAGCUUGAUGGAUUGAACGUUAAAAUGGGCUAAACGAGUGCCCUAAGCGAAAGUGUGUUUUGAUCGUUGGUGCCAGGCGUGUUGGAUCCAGUAUCUCAAACGACCACCCUCCUGGGCUUUUCACUCACCACAGUGUCUAGGGUUUACCGAGAAUGGUGCGACAAACACAAAACAUCAGCACCUACCUGGGGGUGAGAACAGCUUGUUGAUGAGAGGGAGGUCAAAGAAGGGCAAGUAUCGUGUAAGCUAACAGAUGGGCCACAAACGGACACUGACGCAGUACAACAGUGGUGUGAUCCUGGUCAUGGAUGGGGUAUUGCAGCAUUAGACCACACCGGGUUCAACUCCUAUCAGCUGAAAACGAGAAGCGGCUCCACACGAUCACCAACUCUGGAUAAUUGAGGAGUGGAAACUUUAACUGGACCAUGACAGCGAGUUCCGUUUACUUGAGUCCCCAGACCUCAUCCCAAUAGAGCAUCUUUGGGAUGAGAUGGAAUGGGCGGUUCGCAGCAUGAAUGUACCGGAUCGGCAGCAAUUGCGUGAUGCCAUCACAUUAGCAUGGACCAACAUCCCUGUGGAACCUUUCAGGCUGUUCUGGAGGGAAAUGGGGGUCUGACCCGGUACUAGACGGUUGUACCUAAUAAACGGGCAAGUGAGUGCAUCUUUCUAUUACGUGUGGGAGUACUUUGGAACAGAAUUUCAAAAUUAAAUUAACUUGGAGCUGAUUUGCUGGUGUUUUUACAGUAUUUGAUGCCCCAAAAUAAAUAAAAUAACUUUGAGGUGCUAAUAUCAAUCAAAUUCCACUUGCAGUCCGCCAUUUGGGGAACUCUGCAUUAUGCCCUAAAUGGUCAUUUAUGGUUAUUUAUCAGCUGGUUAUUUGUUUGCAACAAUUAACCUGACAAUUCAAAUGGAUUGUCAUUAUUUGAGAGUUCAUAAAUAUAUCUCCUACUAGACCGAUAAAUGGGUUUGGUCUAAUUCAGGUCCGGUGAAAAUAUUCAAUAUCAAUUUAUUGGGGAAAAACACGAGAAUUAUAAAAUAAUUAUCAUUCAUUGACUUAGACAUUAGCUAUAGUUUGAAUGAUAAUAUUUGCCACAAAGAAACGUUUAUCAUAUGUUAUGUAAUCACUUAUUUUCGCUUCGCAGUAAGAACUUCCUGGCUUGGGUUGUCGGGCAAGCCAUCUUAAUAUAAAACAGUUAUAUAUGGAGAAAUAACAUUUUAUAAAACUAGCACAUAUAUCAGAGCGUUUUCUCAGACUUGCCUCAGCUAAACUGUUAGCUUCUUCAGCUUCAGGGAGACUACCUAAAAUAGCUGACACACUGGUUGUUUUCGGUCAGAAACCAUGAUGGCGUCGAGCUACAACGCGCAGGAGGAAGACUGUUACAUCGCCGUACCUGUGGGACCAUCAAUAAUAAAAAGCCCGGUAACUGAGUUUAAACAACGAUUACCUGCUUGGCAACUCAUUCUGACAGCGGGCACAGUUCUCCCAGCUUUCUUCGUUAUCUGGUUUAUCUUCAUCCCCAUUGGUAUCGGACUCUACAUCACGUCUAACAUCAAAGAGUUUGAGGAAACUCACGGUCACUUCCUCCCCCUGGAACAACCGAGCCGAUCAACUGGCGCAAGCCUGUCUAUGAGCUGGACACAGACGCUGAAAAUAAUGACUUCAUCAAUGAGGACUUUAUUGUGUGGAUGCGCACAGCUGCCUUCCCCAUCUUCUGUAAGCUGUACUGUAUUAUCCAGAAGAACGUGACGCCGACUCUUCCCCGGGGCAACUACACCCUGGAAGUCACCUACAACUAUCCUGUUCGUAGCUUUGAAGUGUGGAAGCGUGUGAUCCUGAGCACCGUCUCCUAGAUGGAGGUGGGGGGGCAAGAACCCU